AACAAACCCUCUUUCCUUCCCUCUCUUAAGCCAAGAAUGCUCCAUCUAAUUGUGUGCCUGUGAGGUCUUUGUUAAAAGUUGUAAGCCAAUUGGCGUUUCUUCCAAAUUUAGGUCAUACCAUGCAUGUGUCACUUGCCUGCUAAUAUGUAAAUUCUGAUUUGAAUCUUUUUUACAUAUGACCUAGUAUAUACUCUGCAAUGGUGGAUUUUGAACCUCUUUCCUUCUUUGAUUUUGGCUGCAGUUGGGGUCUGUCUGCUACAGGAGUUGUUGGCUGCUGUGUCACAGGGGAGUUUGGUUUUGUAAUGUUGCUGUAAUGUUGUUGUGCCCCUGCUGCUACUGUAUUGGUGUUGUUUUUUUUUUUCUUUUUUUUUUUUUUUCCUUGGUUGCUCUUGAUUGGUUUGUCUUCCUUUGUUGCUUUCUGUCUAGUGGUAUGUUUUUGCCAAUCAUUAUGUUCUUGUCGUUCUCUGUGGGUAGUAAAACAUUAUAUAUAUAAUACUAAUAAUGUAUAUAAUAAUUUAGUUGUUGUUGCUGCUGCUACUGGUCUGUUGCUGGUGUUAGGUUUGCUGCUGGUUUUCUGGGCUGCUACUAGCUCUAAAAGUUCAGGAACCAGAGCACCAAGCGCUGCAAGCAUGGCCCAGCGAGCAUGCAGUAUUUCAAAGCUGCAAAAAAACCAAAACAAAACAGAUCACUGGGCAGUUGCAAUUUAGGUAGAAAAUAUCGUUCACCAUCACUAAUAAGUAUAAUUACAAUAUUCACCCUCAAUCAAGCCUAUCAUAUCUAGGACAUCAUACUGCAUUUUACAAACUAUAAAUAAUGGUAACAUCCGCUUUUCUCCACAGUAAUACAUUCAUGUCACAAAAUUCUAAUAAUUGAUUAGGAUAUUUGGUUAGCCAUUGUUUGAAACAAGUAGCGGUUACUAUUUCAUUGCUCAUGUAAGACCUCCCAGAUGAUAGCCACACUAAGUCUGCACUGCAUACUCUUUGCCACAGUUCAAACUUUAGUGAUAGGAAAUCUGCAUUCAUAUCCAUAAACUGACUCUGUUGGCCAAACAUUAACUACACAUAGCCACAUAAAAAUUAAAAUUAAAAUUAAAAAAUUUGUUGUGCCAAGAGACAAACAUUAAGAAAAAAUGAUACAUACUUGAAAUAUUUCUGGAAAGCCACAGGAUCCCUACUUAAACCUACAAUAUCAAAGCCAUAGUUCCGUGGUAGUUCUCCAGUCAAAUAUGAAGGAUAGUCUAUGAAAUUGGUCCCUCACCAACUUUCUUGGCUUGAGCUUGUUUAUGUUUGUUCUCUUGUCUUGCCUCCUCUUUAUUGAUGUAAUUCAUAUAUGUUAUAUAUGGCUUUCUCAUCAAUAAAGUUUCUUGAUUUGCUGAUCAAAAACAAAUAAUAUAAAUAAUAAUAUGAAUUUCAAUUUUGAUAUGAGCUCAAAUUUAUUAUAAACAAUUCAAUUAUGGGUUGGUUUGUGAUAAGAAUAUAAUAUAACUAAUAAUUGUUUGUCUUUUUAAUAGUUACCUACUACAAUAACAAAAUGGAUAAAAUCUUGAAAGGAGUGUAUGGCUUCUUCUAAAUGUCAGGUUUAAUGUUUUCUUCCUUUUUUUUUCCCUUUUGGCUGUGAGGUUACUCCUGAGGUUGGCAAAGAAAAUGGAAGCCAUUUACUUCUUAAUGAUCAAAACAAAUACAGAUCAAUGUUGACUCGCACAUAUUCAUCUAUUUGGAUGAUUGGGGGCUUUAUAUUCAUAAUCUACAUGGGCCAUCUCUAUAUUUGGGCCAUGGUCGUGGUUAUCCAAAUUUUUAUGAUAAAAGAGUUGUUCAAUCUACUCAGGAAAGGACACGAAGAAAGGGACCUCCCAGGAUUUAGGUUGUUGAAUUGGUAUGUUAAACCAGAUUCUUGUCAAUGUUCAACUGUCAACUGAAGUGUGGUGUUUAUCUAGGAGAGCUAUUCUUGGAGAAAGCUCAUUAGUUAAAUGAAUGACAACUAAUGAGCUUUUUCAAUUUAUUUAAAUUCUAAGUGAACCAAAUUUUGACACAAUUGUAUAAUUUGUAACAAACAUGUUGUAUCUUUCAACGGCCAGCUUGUCCUUCUUUGCCCUGUUUUUGGGUUUCACUAACAUCCAAAAUUUCUGUCAAUGAUCUCCAAGUGAGUUUGAUUGCUAUAUAUGACAAAUUGUUUCUGUUUGCUUUUAAUUUCAACAGGCAUUUUUUCUUCACUGCUAUGCUGUUUGUAUAUGGCCGCAUUCUCAACCAACGGCUUGCCAACACUAUUACUUCUGAGAAAUUCUUCUAUCAUCUUGUGAGCGGCUUUAUCAAGUAUUACAUGGUUACCUGCUAUUUCUUGUAUGUUGCAGUGGUGUUGAAUCAGGGUGUGCCUGGCGCAAGCUGAAUGUGCAGCGUGUCUUGGAUGAAUCGACUAAAAACCAUGUUAAAAUGCGGUCAAAGGAAGCUAAAAAGAAGCUAAGACCACGAAAGUCAGAAAUUUUUUGGAGAGAUGCAAAAUAUGGUCCAAGAAUUAAAGAACUUAGUUUUU